rnacentral:rRNA from 1 species
GUGCCAGCAGCCGCGGUAAUACGUAGGUGGCAAGCGUUGUCCGGAUUUACUGGGCGUAAAGCGCGCGUAGGCGGAACUUCAAGUCCGGUCUGAAAGCCCCCGGCUCAACCGGGGAGGGUGGCUGGAAACUGGGGUUCUUGAGGGCGAGAGAGGAGGGUGGAAUUCCUGGUGUAGCGGUGAAAUGCGUAGAUAUCAGGAGGAACACCGGUGGCGAAGGCGCACACCUGGCCCGAUACUGACGCUGAGGCGCGAAAGCUAGGGGAGCAAACGGGAUUAGAAACCCUAGUAGUCC